rnacentral:rRNA from 1 species
UACAGAGGGUGCAAGCGUUAAUCGGAAUUACUGGGCGUAAAGGGUGCGUAGGUGGUUUGAUAAGUUGGGGGUGAAAGUCCUGGGCUUAACCUAGGGAUUGCGCUCAAUACUGUCAAGCUAGAGUACUGUAGAGGAAGGUGGAAUUUCCAGUGUAGCGGUGAAAUGCGUAGAUAUUGGAAGGAACAUCAGUGGCGAAGGCGACUUUCUGGACAGAUACUGACACUGAGGCACGAAAGCGUGGGGAGCAAACAGG